rnacentral:lncRNA from 1 species
GCUAGGUCAGUCCCUCCCUUUCCUGCCUUCUGGCAGACUGUUUCCCCAGCACCUACCUCCUGGGUGCUUAGAGGAGGUUCAUCCUCCUGAGCUUCCCAGGAAGAGCAUAUUUCCUUCCCCUUUUGAAGAUUAAAAAACUGAUUGUGAAAGGAAGAGUAGUUGAGUGAAAGUGACUCAGCUUCUACCUGAGCUGGCAGGAGAUAGACACUCCCUCUGCCUCCAGGCCCUGCCAAGAGAAGUCCCAGAAGAAGGAACUUGUGGAAAAAGAGACAGGGAAGCCAGAACUACUGAGCCUAGCUCCCCCAACACCCAGAUUUGGAGUAGCCAGGGACUACUGUCCUACUAAUCCCUCUCUUCUCUCUCGUCGUUUGCAUGACACACCAAAGAGGAGUACGUACACACGUGCUUGUGUCUGUGUGUGGCCUCUGUCUCUGUGUUGGUGAGAGGCCGGUGUCUGUAUCCAUGUCUUCUUCUCUGAGUAAAGCAGGGGAACUGCAUUCAUGCAUCUAUGUGUGUGACCCCAUGUAUGUGUGAAUGUAUCUAUGGAGUCCAUGGGACUGUUUGUGCUCUGCACAUAAGCUGGUAUGUGUGCAUGUAGUUGUGGGCAUGCUGGUGUGUGCAUGUAGGUGUGUGCAGUGACACCACUUCUUCCUUCCAUGGAAGGAAGCCGCAAAUACUACUCUGGCCUCUCUGCACCACUCUACCCCAUCCCCCUCCUCUCCUGGCUCCCCAGCGGAAUCACACCC